rfam:Ornithorhynchus anatinus chromosome 1, whole genome shotgun sequence.
ACCCUCUCAGGAUCGCACCUGGAGAGUUUCCAGUACUCUACUAGUCUCAACUACGGGAGGGAAGAGUAAGGCAGAGGCAUAUCCAUUCCAUCCCUAUCUUGGCCAGUGGCUAGAGGGUGGAAGGCAACCUGCAACAUGU